UUCAGAUGGGCCUCUAUUACUUCAUUUCAAUUGGGCCUUUUAUAUAAUUAUUCAGGCCCACUUUUACUUAAUUAAUUAUUAGGCUGCCUUAUGUCGAGUCUUUUAAUUAAUUAAACUUACAACAAUACUUUCUUCCAUUUAUUAAGCCCGAUUGAGUUUUUGAGGUUAUAAGACGAAUAAGUUGAAGUAUUUAUUUAUUUAUUUUCUAUUGACUACGAGGAGCGGGGUUUAUUAAAUUGACGGUUUAGAACAUCCCGAAGAGAACGGAUUAAUUUUAGUUAAUUAUCCGGCUUCAUGAGACGAGACUUAGCUUUUGUUUAAAUCCGAUAGCCUGGAUUAACAAUAGAAAUUCCCUGAUUAUUGCUCAGAAGAUUAGUUCAUGCAUACCAGAUUCAUGCAUAAUAGUUAAAUUACGCUUUCUCAUUAAUUGAGAAUUUUACUCAAGCCAAUGCCUUAUUUUAUAUUCUCGUGAUUAAGGUCAAGCGCGAGAGUAAGAACUACACAAGGAGUUAGAGUACCUUAGCAAAACUUUGCUAUCAGGUUGAGUUGUGAUGGGCGAUGAAGUGUUGCUGAGUGGAGUUUUUGUUGAACUUAAAGUAGGCUCAGAAAGGAUACAUGUCUUCAUACAUGUAUCUCAGUUAUGCAUUCCGCUGUAAACACUGAUUAUUUCAGUUACACCUUCCGUUGCAAACUCUGAUAAUGUUUUAGCCAAGCCCCUAACGAUGCCUUUUUCCUUUUAAGGAAUAUAACGCUUAUACAA